ACCCGCCUGAAGGUAAACUCAAGACCCAGAAUGAUAUUGAUUCCGUUGCUGCAAAAAUUGAUAACCAUGUGAGGGAUUUGGAGGUUCUUGUUAAGAAUGGGGUUCUUCAAGAAAACGGUGCUGUUUCGACCAAUAUUACAUCGAAGAGGGAGACUAUACGGGCGGAAUCGAGGAAUCUGAUAACACGGCUUCAGAUCGGGACGACUGAGUCGAAGAACUCGGUUUUGGAUUCGUUACUUGGGUUG
rnacentral:misc_RNA from 1 species